UAAAAGUUCUAAGCUGCUAAAUCUCCAACGUUAGAUCAAUAUUUAAUUCUAGAAUGCUUAAACAGAAACAACACUUACGCAAGGCUAGAAAAGGGGAAUUCCAGCAAAAAACAUUGCUGACAGCAGCAUGAUCGUUAAUCUAUGACUUAUCUAUAAAAGCAUAUCUAUUUAACAAAGCUAACCCAACGUAUUCUACUGCCACUCCCAAAUAACAUAAAAUUCCAUCUAGAAACAAUAGUUAAAAAACUAACCUACAACCACUGUAGACUAAGACUAUAACUGUUUGACAUAACCAUGCUAGCCACAACCUAGGAAUUAUGUCAAAAGAUGACAACAAUUGUCAAAAGAUGACAACAAUUACACAAUCAAUGGCUUACUCUCUCUGAAUGUGGCGCUCACGCAUCAAAGAAAGCAGCAACAAAAGGCAUAUGUAGCAGUUACGAUAGACCAUAAGAGUUUAAACUCUUCGCCGCUUUUUUCCACUUCCCUGUCCUUUGGUUGAGCUUAGAGAUUUCCCUUUCACGCUUUCUUGUGGUUUUCCAGAAUCUGUUGGGUUCUCCUUAUUAUCGUCGACUUCUUUCACCUUUGAUGAACCAGAUUUCA
rnacentral:misc_RNA from 1 species